UACAGAGGUCUCAAGCGUUGUUCGGAUUCAUUGGGCGUAAAGGGUGCGUAGGCGGCGCGGUAAGUCGGGUGUGAAAUCUCGGGGCUUAACUCCGAAACUGCAUUCGAUACUACCGUGCUUGAGGACUGGAGAGGAGACUGGAAUUUACGGUGUAGCGGUGAAAUGCGCAGAUAUCAGGAGGAACACCGAUGGCGAAGGCAGGUCUCUGGGCCACUACUGACGCUGAGGCGCGAAAGCCAGGGGAGCAAACGGG
rnacentral:rRNA from 1 species